CCUAAACUCUGUCUUACUUGCAUAAUGAUAAUUCAUGUCGUCAAACCAAACGCACUGUUUGCUGCUCGUUUGUCCAGGAGCCAUCUUUUCCUAAAGUGAGCAAUAUUACGUGCAUUUUGUCUGGCUGGCCGAGGGCUCCUCCCUACAGCUUCUGCAGCCAUGGAAGAGUCUGGAAGGACAGUGUUCGCUUGUACAAGAAGAGGGAAGGAUAGGAUGAGAAAAGCAAAAUCUUGGAGAGUCUGUGGUCGGAAGAAGAAAGCUGAAGCUGGUUAGGAGGAAGGAGUGUGUGAGUGAAUUAGGAGCUGAAGCAGUAAAGUAGCUUUCCCUGUGACCCUGAUGUGUCGGGCAUUUCUGUCUUAGACUAAAAGCAUAAUAAAAAAGGCACUUUGUUUAGGUUAACAGAGCAUUAUAUAACUGGAAAGUUUUACAGUUUUAUAUAUAUAGUGAAUAGUUUGUAGAGGAUAAAAAGACUUCCCUUUGGUUUAUUAUUUGGGUAAAAUAAAAACCCACGAAUCAUUUAAGGAUGCAUUUCUUUUUCUUUUUUCUGCCUUUUUUUUUUUAAGACAAAAGCUUGAAGGCAUAAAAUGGAGUUAUUUUCAUCGGGAUAUCACCCUCGAUGCUGCUGCUUUACUACAUGUUCAUAGUCAAAAUUAUUUCAUGUUUCCCUUGAAUAACUACGAUCAGUUUGAAAACAGCUUUGUUAAUUAGUAAGAGAUGACGCAAUAUAUCACUGCAUCUUUAGGGCUCUGGCGCCAGCUAGUGGUAGGAGAGGGGAGCCGCCCUGUCGCUCUCAAAUCUGGGAAGGCGUCGGUCUUCUCGCGUCCCCUUAUCCCUCAUCCUCCUCAUUUUUUUUUUCCAUCAGCAUAAUGGGGGAAUCAUUGCAGUGUGGCCAGAGAGGAGCAGACGAGAUUAUAGAUGAAAGUAGAGAAAAACGGUGGGCAGGGGCAGGGAGAGGAAAGGCCAGACAAAUGCAAUCAUUUCUCCAAAGGAUUUGAGAAGAGAUCAUUUAUUUGAAAUAUUCCUGCCAUGUUGAUGGAGCAGCUCAAUCUUUUGCCAGUGAAUCUUUAGCGUUUUGUUUUUCAUUUGUAGAUAUGGUUGAACAUAUACUUAGGACACGUAAUAACUAUGGAACUUCAUCACAAACACAGCACUGAGGACAUGUUAAGGAGACAUGCAUACAAGGAGAAUGCCAGGUGAACGUGAAGACCAUCAUUUGCAAGCCAAGAGAGGCCUGGAGCAGAUCCUUCAGAGCCCUCAGAAGGGACCAACCCUGCUGGCACCUUGAUUUUGGACUUCCAGCCUCCAGAACUAAGAACUUGAUGUAUACCUCCUGACCUGUUCAUCUUGUAGCUGCCUCUUGACAGCACAUGUUGGCACCUUUAGAAAGAUCUAGAAAUCCACGUGUUGUACGUAAAUCUGGGGCUGUUGUUACUGCAGAUGUACCUUCCACAACUUGAUUUUCUGUGAUGUCAAUUAUUCAGGUUGGAAUCUCUGCAUUUGCAGAAUGUGAUCUCUUACAAUGAUGACUGCAUCUCUGCAGGCUGCAGAGGCCCGGGGACACAUGCUUUCCUCUACUUGUAGAAGGAGGCACCAGACACCUCUUACCCUGGAGUUCUUUUCUCUAGAAGAUAGCCUAUACAGUGGGACAUGGCGUCUUCAACCUCCUGACUCUAAUCACCUUUGAAGAUAAGCAUCCAAUCCCUUUACAUUAAAGGUAUGGGAUUACAAGACAGACAAACAAAGGGAGACGCUACAUGCUUCCAGAAAAAUAUU